rnacentral:rRNA from 1 species
UACGUAGGGCGCAAGCGUUGUCCGGAAUUUAUUGGGCGUAAAGAGCUCGUAAGGCGGCUUGUCACGUCGGGUGUGAAAGCCCGGGGCUUAACCCCGGGUCUGCAUUCGAUACGGGCUAGCUAGAGUGUGGUAGGGGAGGAUCGGAAUUCCUGGUGUAGCGGUGAAAUGCGUAGAGAUCAGGAGGAACACCCAUGGCGAAGGCAGCGCUCUGGUCGGCAUCUGACGCUGAGAGGCGAAAGCGUGGGGAGCGAACGGG